UACAGAGGGGGCAAGCGUUAUUCGGAAUUAUUGGGCGUAAAGAGUGUGUAGGUGGUAUGUUAAGUUAAAUGUUAAAUCCCAGGGCUCAACUCAGGGGCUGCAUUUAAUACUGGCAAACUUGAGGUUAUGAGAGGUAAGCGGAAUUAGUAGUGUAGCAGUGAAAUGCGUAGAUAUUACUAGGAACACCAAUGGCGAAGGCAGCUUACUGGCAUAAUCCUGACACUGAGACACGAAAGCGUGGGGAGCGAACAGG
rnacentral:rRNA from 1 species